UUUGUCAUACUUGAAGGG
rnacentral:misc_RNA from 1 species